rnacentral:rRNA from 1 species
AUUAAAGAGUUCUAUAACUCCCAAACCCAUGUGAACAUACCUAACGUUGCCUCGGCAGGUCGCACCUACCUUGUAGCACCCUACCCUGUAGGGCCUACCCGGGAGGUGCGGGUAAGCCUGCCGGCGGCCCACCAAACUCUGUUUGAUAUUGAAUUCUGAACCUAUAACUAAAUAAGUUAAAACUUUCAACAACGGAUCUCUUGGUUCUGGCAUCGAUGAAGAACGCAGCGAAAUGCGAUAAGUAAUGUGAAUUGCAGAAUUCAGUGAAUCAUCGAAUCUUUGAACGCAUAUUGCGCCCAUUAGUAUUCUAGUGGGCAGGACCGUUCGAGCGUCAUUUCAACCCUUAAGCCUUCGUUGCUUAGUGUUGGGAGCCUACGGCAACGUAGCUCCUCAAAGUUAGUGGCGGAGUUGGUUCACACUCUAGACGUAGUAAUUUUUUAUCUCGCCUAUUAGUUGGACUAAUCCCCUGCCGUAAAACCCCUAAUUUAUCAAGGUUGACCUCGAAUCGGUUCAGACAAACUCGCUAAAUUGAAGCAUCUUAGUCAGCGAAGGAAAAGAAACCAACAGGGAUUGCCCUAGUAACGGCGAGUGAAGCGGCAACAGCUCAAAUUUGAAAU